rnacentral:rRNA from 1 species
AUUGAACGCUGGCGGCAUGCUUUACACAUGCAAGUCGAACGGCAGCGCGGGCUUCGGCCUGGCGGCGAGUGGCGAACGGGUGAGUAAUACAUCGGAACGUGCCCAGUAGUGGGGGAUAGCUCGGCGAAAGCCGGAUUAAUACCGCAUACGACCUGAGGGUGAAAGCGGGGGAUCUUCGGACCUCGCGCUAUUGGAGCGGCCGAUGGCAGAUUAGCUAGUUGGUGGGGUAAAGGCCUACCAAGGCGACGAUCUGUGGCUGGUCUGAGAGGACGACCAGCCACACGGGGACUGAGACACGGCCCAGACUACUACGGGAGGCAGCAGUGGGGAAUUUUGGACAAUGGGCGAAAGCCUGAUCCAGCAAUGCCGCGUGUGUGAUGAAGGCCUUCGGGUUGUAAAGCACUUUUGGCGGGAACGAAAAGGACUGUGCCAAUACCACGGUUCGAUGACGGUACCCGCAGAAUAAGCACCGGCUAACUACGUG